rnacentral:rRNA from 1 species
GACGAACGCUGGCGGCGCGCUUAACACAUGCAAGUCGAACGGAAAGGCCUGCUUUCCCUUGUGGAUUGCGGGUACUCGAGUGGCGAACGGGUGAGUAACACGUGAGUGAUCUGCCCCCAACUUGGGUAUAAGCCUGGGAAACUGGGUCUAAUUCCCGAUAGGACUGCAGGGUGGUGCCUGUGGUGGAAAACGAUUUUCUAGUGGUUGGGGAUGAGCUCGCGGCCUAUCAGCUUGUUGGUGGGGUAAUGGCCUACCAAGGCGGCGACGGGUAGCCGGCCUGAGGGGGUGGACGGCCCCAUUGGGACUGAGAUACGGCCCAGACUCCUACGGGAGGCAGCAGUGGGGAAUAUUGCACAAUGGGCGGAAGCCUGAUGCAGCGACGCCGCGUGGGGGAUGACGGCCUUCGGGUUGUAAACUCCUUUCGACCGCGAGGAAGCCACCUGGUUGGAAGGGUGGUGACGGUAGUGGUAGAAGAAGCACCGGCUAACUACGUG